rfam:Gossypium hirsutum cultivar TM-1 chromosome 4, whole genome shotgun sequence
AAACCAUGCAUCGGGCAUUUUCUAAUCAAUUCCUUGAAUCACUCCCAAGUUUCAUACAAAGUCUCAUCUUCAAAUUAUUGAAAAGAUGUAAUAUAAUUCAUAAAUUU